GAUGAACGCUGGCGGCGUGCCUAAUACAUGCAAGUCGAGCGAACAGACGAGGAGCUUGCUCCUCUGACGUUAGCGGCGGACGGGUGAGUAACACGUGGAUAACCUACCUAUAAGACUGGGAUAACUUCGGGAAACCGGAGCUAAUACCGGAUAAUAUAUUGAACCGCAUGGUUCAAUAGUGAAAGACGGUUUUGCUGUCACUUAUAGAUGGAUCCGCGCCGCAUUGGCUGGUUGGUAAGGUAACGGCUUACCAAGGCAACGAUGCGUAGGCGAGCUGAGAGGGUGGUAGGCCACACUGGAGCUUGGACGCGGACCAGACUCCUACGGGAGGCAGCAGUAGGGAAUCUUCCGCAAUGGGCGAGAGCAUGACGGAGCAGCGCCGCGUGAGUGAUGAAGGUCUUCGGAUCGUAAAACUCUGUUAUUAGGGAAGAACAAAUGUGUAAGUAACUAUGCACGUCUUGACGGUACCUAAUCAGAAAGCCACGGCUAACUACGUG
rnacentral:rRNA from 1 species